GCAUUUCGCACGACCAGAUCUUUACACCUCUCUGUGAUCUAAGCCGAGAUCCAAACCCCAAAAUCCUAAUUCUCUUUUCAAUUUGGAGAAAAUGGGGGUCGAAAAUGCUGACGACACUUCGGCGGUGGCUAGCCCCCUCCCGCUUCCGUCUCUCAGCAGCCCUACGUUUCUGAGCUUCUCUCAUUCACUCUCGAUCGCCUCC
rnacentral:misc_RNA from 1 species